AAAAAUGAAAAUGUACAACUUGCCAAACUAGUACAACUUGUAAACUUGGUACAACUAGUGCAUUUUGGUGGCUACACGUGUCUAAUGUGGAUCACGUGUUUGUGGUUUGGUCAUUUUUUUUUUAUUUUUUUUUUCCUAUACUUUAGAAUUUUCAAAAAAUUGAUCAUCUACUUGGAUCAACAAGAGUGGUGAAAAGGGGAAGAAGAUCCAAAUAUGUAUAUGGUGAGAAUGAGUAUUCAAGCAAAACACAACCAGAUAAUUGCAAGUCAAGAUUAAGUUCUUAUAAGGUAAGGAAUGAGAUCAGAUCACAACAUGUUUCAACCCAGUUCAAGAAUGCUCUUCA
rnacentral:lncRNA from 1 species